rnacentral:lncRNA from 1 species
GCUUCCUAUAAUGGAAGGUAACACUGAACUCUAGUUUAGGGUUUAUAAUGAUUCUGUUGUCACUACACUUUUAUAGAAAGUCUAUCAAGUGACAUCUAUAUCCUCUGCAUUAGUAGAUCAAUGCUGUACUUUGUUGAUCCAUCCUAUUUGGUACUUGAUAGGGGAAUGAUGGGAUUUGAAACGUGCCUGCAACGUAGCUGUUGUGGGGUUGCCAGAUCUGACUUAUCUUUGUGAAGAAAUUAAUCUGUGAAGAGGGUUAAAGAGUAGUGUUAUGAAAUGAAGUUCUAACUGCUCUUGUUUAGAAUUAUAAAGCUCCAGCACAUGUACCUGAGCCACAGCAAAAUGGGAUAGAGAAAGAAACAGUCUUGUUCUGUCUCAGAUGCUUAUAAGCAUUCCAGACUUUAUAUAUAAAACAGCACUUUGCAAUUCACCUGGAAACUCACUGAUAUAGAUCCAAGAUGAGAAACACAAUGUACUCGCAGCAGAAAACACUGCUAGGUCUUGAAACAAACUUCUGCAGAAGAGAUUGAGCCUGAAUCCUCAAAUGUGCUGCGUGCUCGUUUAUGCUAGCCUUUCACCAACCAAUGAUGGAAGGAAAACAACACUGGAAGAAGUUGUCCAUUCAGUUGGCUAUCGGAGUAGCCACAUGCAGAUGCUGGGCCACUGUGGCAUAGACUGGAGAAUAAAACUUCAACCAAUUUGGACAGCAUACUCCUCAAUGUCCUUAAAGCGAGAGUCAAGCNNNNNNNNNNNNNNNNNNNNNNNNNNNNNNNNNNNNNNNNNNNNNNNNNNGUAGUUCUAGGAAAAAUGGUAAGAGCAGCCCAUCUUCAUUCUUUAUAGCACUCAAGCAAGGUUGUGAGAAAAUGAAUUGUUUCAGCUGAGAAAGCAAUAGUUGAUGUAAAAUCCUUGUAGGGAAUCGUCAGUAUAGUAGCAAAACUAGUGCACCAGCAAUUACCAGUUUGACUUUAAAUCACAAGAAAUAAUUGGUGUAUGCAAACUAUGCAUCAGUAGUAUACAUUUCUAAAGAGGUUUAUUUACACUUGAGUAGAU